GCACACCAGGUUAAUCUCCUUGAUUGGAAAGCUUUAGGAUUCACUUCCUAGAGAGCUCCCAGUAGCAAUCAUUAGAAAAGUAAAAACUACACCCAAAUCUUCUCUUCUGGAAGUCCACAGGAAGGAGGAUCAUGCCCUAAAAUUUGCACAUCAGACCACUGUAUAAAAGAGUGAACAAGAAAAAUGUGAAGUAGCGAGGUCUUCCCCAGAGAAAGGAAUUGUGAAUCCCAAUUUGCCACAAACAGUGCUAUACCAUUCUGUUGAAUGGCUGGAGGGAUUUAUGUAGCAUGAAGUGCAAGUUGACGACUUCUGGAGGAUAAGAUAUGUGAUCUGGAAAUGUGAAUCAAACGUCUUUUCUGGCAACUAGAUUUGAAAUUUAUUACCACAGACUCCACAGGAAAAGGGUUAGAGGCAAGGAAACUGGUGAGGUUGCAAAUUGAGCAAGUGGACUAGUGAUCUGUAAAAAGAGACACUUUAUCCAGUUAAUGGUAUUGUCUCAGUAUCAGAUCCUUAUUGAGUUAUCUACUGAGGAACAGAAGACAAAUUUAGAGGGACAUCUCCAAUGAACAUCUUUACUAUACGAAAUGAACUGGAACAGAGAUCUCCUUAAUAUAUUUUAAACUCAAGCAGAUGCAGUCCAUAGAUUAUAUGAAAAUAAAUUUAAAGAAAAUUAAUAAAGGAAGAAGGGACAAAAAAAUGUGCUGUUUUCCAAGUGCAAAGUUAUGAAAAUGUAACAGUAGUGUUGGAUGGGAUGACUGAUCAGUGCAAAUCAUGAUCUGCUGACAGUUCACAUUAGAACAAAAAAAUGUGGAACAGAACAAAUUGUAAAGGUUUGAGAGCUGCAGAAGAAAAGUAAAGAAAAAUUCAAAUGAUUUUUCUGGUUUUAUGAACAACAUAAGAGAGAACAUCUUGGAGAUGAGUGGAUGUACAGCUGUCUGGUGGGAAACAGAAGGUUUUGAUAUUAUGGAGCACUGAACUUUGUGACAGUUUACUGGGAAUUGGUGCCAUUUGCCCAGAACACACUGUAUCUUAUGGGUAGGGAGAUAAUUUUCUCAGCUAGACAGCUAGAGACUAGCUUGACUAAGUAAGAAGAUAAGUAGUUACAUGAACCAGGGGUGUAAGGACAAUAAAGGCAGUAACCGUUUAAACUCAGUGUGUCAUAAACCAAGUGGUUUGAUAUGGCAAGAAUGUGAAGGCGAGACAUUUUUCACUAAAUAUUUACCCAUGCUACAAGACUGACUAAUGAGAUAGGGGAAAUGGUAAUUCUCACUGAUGAGAAAAAUUUUGACUUAACUGGCAGUAUUGAAGCCUAGUGGGAAGAUCUGUAUGAGGAGAAUGUUAAAAUCUCUAUCUGUAGCCUGUUUAGGAGCUAUAGAGUGAAAAAAUAAAUUUUAUAUUAAAGAUACCAUUGAUAACUCAGAACUACAGCAUCUUGAAUGCAUAUGAAUCAAUGUACUAACUCAAAUGCUCAGGAGAUCAUAGAGCCACACCAGAAAAUUUCAUGAAUGCCUAUGUGCACACUUGGUUUCAUAAUGUAUAGAACAAACAACUGUACCCCAAAGGAUCCUAGCCUGGGAGCUGUAGACAGAUAGUGAAAGACACAGCUGCAAAAU